AUUGAACGCUGGCGGCAUGCCUUACACAUGCAAGUCGAACGGCAGCACGGGUGCUUGCACCUGGUGGCGAGUGGCGAACGGGUGAGUAAUACAUCGGAACAUGUCCUGUAGUGGGGGAUAGCCCGGCGAAAGCCGGAUUAAUACCGCAUACGAUCUACGGACGAAAGCGGGGGGCCUUCGGGCCUCGCGCUAUAGGGUUGGCCGAUGGCUGAUUAGCUAGUUGGUGGGGUAAAGGCCUACCAAGGCGACGAUCAGUAGAUGGUCUGAGAGGAGGACCAGCCACACUGGGACUGAGACACGGCCCAGACUCCUACGGGAGGCAGCAGUGGGGAAUUUUAGACAAUGGGCGAAAGCCUGAUCCAGCAAUGCCGCGUGUGUUAAGAAGGCCUUCGGGUUGUAAAGCACUUUUGUCCGGAAAGAAAUCCUUGGCUCUAAUACAGUCGGGGGAUGACGGUACCGGAAGAAUAAGCACCGGCUAACUACGUG
rnacentral:rRNA from 1 species